CGUAAACAAAAAUAAAGCAUUAAAAAUAGUUGGGAGGGAGGCAACAUAAAUGUGGAAGAUUGUCUAUUUUCUUAAAAAGAAAGAAAGAAAGGAAGGAAGGAAGAAAGAAAGAAACAAAGAAACAAAGAAAAAGAAUGGAGGCCCUGUGUCAUGCCACAAUUGCAAGAGGCAGGACUUCCGGUGAGAUUCCUAGCAGAGUGUAUGGACAGACGGAAGGAAGAGGAGCCGUAAGCUGUUGUUGACUGUUUGGGAAUUGAUGCUUCUCAGCUGGGAGAGACA
rnacentral:lncRNA from 1 species